UGCUAUAGGACCUAAUUUGCUGAGCAUUAGAUACUAUAGCCAAAGAGUGAUCCUGUUGUUGAAAUGCAAGAUCUUGAUUGAUGUCCUCAUAUUGCUCCAAGGUAUCACGUACUAUCAUUCCAUCAUGAGUUCCAUAUUUAUUCUAUUCUGGUGAAAAAAAUUCUUCAUAAUUAUCUUUAUUUUUAUCUACAACCACAUCCCCGGUAGCAUCCGAGUCUGCAUUUUUGUCAGCACUAUCACUUACUAUCAUUCCACCAUGAAUGCCAUCUUUAUCAUGUUUGGUUGACAAAAAUUCAUCUUUAUUUAGAGCUUCAGUAACAUCCCUCUUUCCCACCCAAUUUCUUGUUUCAUUACCUUUUGGUUGGUUACUAUCAAUGGGGUGCUUCAUUGGGACUGAAACUUUAGUGCUUAACUCCACCACAUUUUGAUUAACAUCUUCAUGUGAUAUGUCUCCUCUGUUGUUCCCUCAUUUUCAUUUGUUGAAUUAGUUAACUAUUACACCUAACAUCUUCAUUGUUUUCCCCCUCCUCAUCGUUGACAGUCUCUAAAGCUGCAUACUGGUUGUGUGAUCCAAUUUUUGUGCUAUUAUUUUUCAUUUGUGGAUCCUGUGGAUUAACUUUGUUCUUCCCUUUCUUAUUUUCAACUUCAUUCCAAUCACCGGGGUUUCCCACUAUCUUUUCACUAGUUAGUCUCCUAGGAAAAGAACCAGUGGGUUGGGAUUGUUGCAUAUUUCCCCCUUUCACUUGGCUAGAUUUUUUAUUAUCACCAUGUAAUUGUUUAUUAUCCCUAUCAGUUUUGUUUCUACAAUUAGCCCCCAUAUACAAUCCUGCUUCCAUCUUAUAGCCCUCUUUCGAGAUUUCGAGAUUGCUAGUUCAGGAUGAAUUACCCUACACUCAUACAUGUUAUGGCCUUGGAGUUCGCAUUCUUUGUUAUAUUUGGGAAAGUAAUCAUACUGAAUAUUAACUUUGAUUGUUCUUAUAACACCCGGAGCUUCAUCUUCAAUAUCCAUUCUCACAUGAUCAGGUAAAUUGGCCAUUUAAUCAACUAGACCUUAACUUUGGCACAACUAGGCCUAGUUUUAUUAAUUGUGGCCAUAUCUAAAUGAAUAGGAGUUCCUACUACCGAUGCUAAGGAGAAUAAAGACUCCUUGACAAAAUAGAUUGGUAGCAAGUUGGGAAAUGAUAUCGAAGCCACAGCCAUCGUAGUCUCCUCUUCCACAAUAAAUUUGGAGUCAUAUAUCAACGGUCUCAUUUGAUAGGAGGCACCAUCUUUAGACUUGAUGUAGAAAGCAACCUUCGGUGUAAUAUUAAUGAAAUCUUCUUUAAGGGACAAUCUAAUUAGAAUAUGCCUAUUUAUGAAAUAACCAAUCUGUCGGUCACCUUUGAUGUUACAUUGCACAGGAAUAGCUGUACGCAACUCCUCCAGAUCCAGCCAACCAUAUGAAAAAUUUCCCACAAUAGCAUGUUGCAGAUUUUCAAUUAUGUUCAUUGUGGCAAACUUCAGAUUCAGACCAUUUGAU
rnacentral:lncRNA from 1 species